GUAGGUGGCAAGCGUUGUCCGGAACUAUUGGGCGUAAAGCGCGCGCAGGCGGGUCCUUUAAGUCUGAUGUGAAAGCCCACGGGCUCAACCGUGGAGGGUCAUUGGAAACUGGGGGACUUGAGUACAGAAGAGGAAAGCGGAAUUCCAAGUGUAGCGGUGAAAUGCGUAGAGAUUUGGAGGAACACCAGUGGCGAAGGCGGCUUUCUGGUCUGUAACUGACGCUGAGGCGCGAAAGCGUGGGGAGCAAACAGGAUUAGAUACCCUGGUAGUCCACGCCGUAAACGAUGAGUGCUAAGUGUUAGGGGGUUUCCGCCCCUUAGUGCUGCAGCUAACGCAUUAAGCACUCCGCCUGGGGAGUACGGCCGCAAAGGCUG
rnacentral:rRNA from 1 species